UACGGAGGAUCCAAGCGUUGUCCGGAUUUAUUGGGUUUAAAGGGUGCGUAGGCGGAUCUUUAAGUCAGUGGUGAAAGCCUGCAGCUUAACUGUAGAACAGCCAUUGAAACUGAAGAUCUUGAAUGUGGUUAAAGUAGGCGGAAUGUAUCAUGUAGCGGUGAAAUGCUUAGAUAUGAUACAGAACACCGAUAGCGAAGGCAGCUUGCUGAACCAUUAUUGACGCUGAGGCACGAAAGCGUGGGGAGCGAACAGG
rnacentral:rRNA from 2 species